rnacentral:tRNA from 1 species
GGAGAGUGAAGCGUGCCUGGUGGCCGCCGCGGUUUUCAAAACCGUUGAAGGGCUGUUAUGGUCUUUGGUUGGUUCAAUUCCUUCCCUCUCCGCCA